AUUUUACGAUUGCAUGAAUAGUGACAUAAAUCGAGUUAGGGUUUUCACGAGUUUUCAAAGAAGUUCUUACCUAAAAGUGGCACCAUUCAACUUGUAUGAACCUUAGGAACACGAUGGUGUCCUUUAAACCCUAGAUCUGUAAACUUUCCACCAGUUUUUGUUGUUAAUCCGUACGAGAGAAAGGAGAGAGGGUGAGUCCGAGGGAGAGAGCAUGGGAGAGAAGAGAGAGAAAGGUACUUUUUGUGUGUGUGGUCCAAAUUGGGUCACCAACCAAACAACUAAACUUUAAAAAAUUUAUUUAGUCCAAACCUUAGCCCAUUUACACACACCAUCACCAACCGCUC
rnacentral:lncRNA from 1 species